AAAGCCGGGGCAACUCGGCGAGUACAGCGGCGGAAGGGUGCGUAAUACAUGGUUAACGUACCCCCCAGUUCGGGAUAACCCUCCGAAAGGUGGGCUAAUACCGGGUAAUGGCAACGGGUGGCAUCAUCUGUUGCUUAAAGCCGUAAGGCGCUGGGGGAGCGAACCAUGGCCUAUCAGCUAGUUGGCGGGGUAACGGCCCACCAAGGCAAUGACGGGUAGCCGGACUGAGAGGUUGAACGGCCACACGGGAACUGAGACACGGUCCCGACAUCUACGGAUGGCAGCAGUAGGGAAUCUUGCGCAAUGGGCGAAAGCCUGACGCAGCGACACCGCGUGGGGGAUGAAGGCCUUCGGG
rnacentral:rRNA from 1 species